rnacentral:rRNA from 1 species
UACGGAGGGUGCAAGCGUUAUCCGGAUUCACUGGGUUUAAAGGGUGCGUAGGUGGGUUGGUAAGUCCGUGGUGAAAUCUCCGAGCUUAACUCGGAAACUGCCGUGGAUACUAUCAAUCUUGAAUACUGUGGAGGUAAGCGGAAUAUGUCAUGUAGCGGUGAAAUGCUUAGAUAUGACAUAGAACACCGAUAGCGGAGGCAGCUGCUACGCAGUCAUUGACACUGAGGCACGAAAGCGUGGGGAUCAAACAGG